rnacentral:tRNA from 1 species
GCCGAAGUGGCGGAAUUGGUAGACGCGCUAGAUUCAGGGUCUAGUGGGAUGUACGUCCUGUGGGGGUUCAAAUCCCCCCUUCGGCACCA